AUUUUUUACAUCAGGGUGGCUAGAAGCUGAACAUAUUCUUCUGUAUGCUUGAUAGUUAUCUUUAAAUGGCUUUGUUUGUCAGAUACAUGAUCAUAUCAUAAACCUCUUUACAAGCCAUGAUGCAGAUUUGGGUAACGUAACCCUAACAUUUGUGCCAGAAGACUGCUUGUGCCUAGUUAGUCUUUCAGACUGUUCUUGGUAGUGCACAUCUGCUUCUGAAAACAGUAUUACAAAAUGGUUACCUCUGUCUCAUCAGCCAGAAAACUUAAAGACAUACGCACAUAGGUAACUAUAGGAAGACGUGUCUCCUUAGUGUCUCAGGACCCUUGUGUAUCUAUGAGUAAAAUAAAUUAAAUCAAAAUAUUAAGGUAUUUACAAAAAAAAAAAAAAAAAAAAAAGACAGGAAGCCUUAUACACUGAUUCAGUUUCUGUGUGAUUCAAUGAUUCCUAGAAACUUUAGGAAGCUCAACACAGAAAUGUUAAUAAAGGGAGGGUGGUGGCAGAAGCUGAAGGCUUCCUUAUAACCUCCCAAGACACAGCAUUUCUUAGGAUCUAGUCCAGUAUUUCUGGCUUUUAAAAAUCGUACACAGAAAUUCAUUUUGACAACCCUCACAGAUUGGCCUUGGUUAUUCUUGAAAUAACAUACUUCUCUUGUAUAACCUACAGGCAGCUAAAAACUAGCUACCUAGUUUAUUUACAAGAAAAUACGGUGUGAUGUAAGAUAUAAGGCUUUGUGAGGUAAUAGAUUUCUUUUGAAAUCUUCUAUUACUUCUUUUGUUCCCUGGGGAAAACUAUUAUCGUUGUCAGCUGCUGCUUCAAAAAUGAAAAUAGGUCUCUUUCUGUUGGGACCUGAGGGCACUAAAGGAGAUCAAGGGUCCUGACCGGUUUCACCUGAGGCUUCCUCUCACCCCCUGCCAUGGGCCUUGGAGCUCCAUUUUGACUCAGCCUGGAGCAUUUCAGACCUUUUCUGAACUAAGUUGUAGGAGCGAAGGUCUCCAGCGCAGGCAGAUCCUUGCCUAUGCCUGGCCGUGGGCCUUACUGAUCCUUAUCAGCAUCCCUGCUUCCUGGCCUGGUUUUGGACCGCCACCACGGGCCUACCUAAUGGUUACCGUCCUGUGUCUGACUCUGGUUGCUAUUGUGAGCAAAAUGAGAAGCAUAAAAAAAGAUGGUAAGUCAAUCUGACUGUUGAUUUUUUUUUUUCCCUCUUUUUAAUCAGUUCAAAUGUUAAGUAAAAAUAAAGAAGAUAGCCUGGAUUCUUUGCUCA
rnacentral:lncRNA from 1 species